AUUGAACGCUGGCGGCAGGCCUAACACAUGCAAGUCGAACGGUAACAGGAAGAAGCUUGCUUCUUUGCUGACGAGUGGCGGACGGGUGAGUAAUGUCUGGGAAACUGCCUGAUGGAGGGGGUUAACUACUGGAAACGGUAGCUAAUACCGCAUAACGUCGCAAGACCAAAGAGGGGGACCUUCGGGCCUCUUGCCAUCGGAUGUGCCCAGAUGGGAUUAGCUAGUAGGUGGGGUAACGGCUCACCUAGGCGACGAUCCCUAGCUGGUCUGAGAGGAUGACCAGCCACACUGGAACUGAGACACGGUCCAGACUCCUACGGGAGGCAGCAGUGGGGAAUAUUGCACAAUGGGCGAAAGCCUGAUGCAUCCAUGCCGCGUGUAUGAAGAAGGCCUUCGGGUUGUAAAGUACUUUCAGCGGGGAGGAAGGGAGUAAUGUUAAUACCUUUGCUUAUUGACGUUACCCGCAGAAGAAGCACCGGCUAACUACGUG
rnacentral:rRNA from 1 species